rnacentral:rRNA from 1 species
GCGGUUCUAUUUUGUUGGUUUCUAGGACCGCCGUAAUGAUUAAUAGGGACAGUCGGGGGCAUCAGUAUUCAAUUGUCAGAGGUGAAAUUCUUGGAGUUAUUGAAGACUAACUACUGCGAAAGCAUUUGCCAAGGAUGUUUUCAUUAAUCAGGAACGAAAGUUAGGGGAUCGAAGACGAUCAGAUACCGUUGUAGUCUUAACCAUAAACUAUGCCGACUAGGGAUCGGACGAUGUUAUUUUUUGACUCGUUCGGCACCUUACGAGAAAUCAAAGUGCUUGGGCUCCAGGGGGAGUAUGGUCGCAAGGCUGAAACUUAAAGAAAUUGACGGAAGGGCACCACCAGGGGUGGAGCCUGCGGCUUAAUUUGACUCAACACGGGGAAACUCACCAGGUCCAGACACAAUGAGGAUUGACAGAUUGAGAGCUCUUUCUUGAUUUUGUGGGUGGUGGUGCAUGGCCGUUCUCAGUUGGUGGAGUGAUUUGUCUGCUUAAUUGCGAUAACGAACGAGACCUUAACCUGCUAAAUAGCCCGUAUUGCUUUGGCAGUACGCCGGCUUCUUAGAGGGACUAUCGGCUCAAGCCGAUGGAAGUUUGAGGCAAUAACAGGUCUGUGAUGCACUUAGAUGUUCUGGGCCACGCGCGCGCUACACUGACGGAGCCAGCGAGUACUCCCUUGGCCGGAAGGCCCGGGUAAUCUGUAAUUUUCCUUC